rnacentral:lncRNA from 12 species
AUCUACGGCUCCCUGUAGUCUUCACUUCCCAAGUGACAGGGCUGGAUGAAGAGAUGAUUGUGCAUAAAGUGGUUUGUGAUCUUCCUAAGGGAAAGACUUGAUAAAACGUGGGCUCUUCUUAGGAUACAGCAGAUGUGCAGACUCCAGCGAAAGCCCUGCUCGCUUGAACGCAGACAGCCAUGAAUCACGCACUGUCACACUUCAGCAGGGCGGCUUGGCCAGCAGGGCUGGGCACUCGGGAAGAAGGCAGGAGCAGGAGGGGCUCACCGGCUCUCCAGUCUCUCUGGGCCUUUUUUUUUUUUUUUCUUUCUCUCCUUAAAUCAGGCAUGGGGGGUAGCUCUGCAAUAAGCUUGGAGCUGGAGCUGGAGCUGAGGGGGAGCUGUCAUAAUCCAGAGAAAUCAUCUUUUUAAAAAUAAUUAUCAAAGGAGAUUGGAGAUGGCCCUGCAACCUUCAUGAAGCAGUUUCCAGGUCAUGUACAUUGUACCAAUACUCUAACAUGAGUCUGAUUAUUCUGCUGCAUUUCGGGCUGAAAUAAUUGUGUACCUGGACCAUCUGCGGCUGCCUUUUCCAGCACCUUCCUGUGGACAGCUCCAGGGCACUCUCUGGAAGCCAGAAUGGACUCCUGCUGAUUCGCCCACAUAUUUGUCUUGAAUGAAAGAAUGGCGUAUGCCAGUGGAUUUCAAAGCUUUUCACAAAACAUCUCCAUAUCUGAAGUCUCAAGAGUUUAUGUCAAGCAUUUGUAUUACUUACCACUAAUUAAAUAUACCAUCCGUGUUUUACAACAUGAACACAUCUGCUGAUAAUGUUGUAACUUGUAUUAUUAUUUACUUGAGAUAAUACAUUAGAAAUUAAUGGUUGGUCAGUAACCUUGAAAUCCUGGCCUAUCUAUAAUAGAUAUUAAUGGUCAUGUGUAUAGAAAAUAGUUUUCUUUUAAACAUUUCUUACAAAAGGAUAAUUUGAAGGCAUGUUCAAGUGUUUUAUUUCACCAUAUUUAUUUACCAUGAUGCCAAAAAUAUUGUUUAAAUUCCUAUUGUUAAGAUUUUGAGCAGACUGCCAAAAUGGGUAGAUUAUGGUAAUAUCCUUAGAGAAAAAUCAAGAAAUGUAGCAUUUAGAAGUAAACUAUGUUUUGCUAAGAAUGUUUAAUGCGGAAAAAAGCUUGAUGACACAAUUUUUAAAAAAUGGAAAUGAGAACACUGCAUUGGAUUUAAACCUAGAAAUACUGAGAUUCGUGAUACAUGGUAGUUUGAGAUCUAUUCCUCCUCUAGAUCUAACUGAAAGUAGAAACCAAACUCCAUAAAGAAAUUGAUAUUCCCCUGAAGAGUACAAAUUCUAAGUUAAACAUACCAAAAAAAAAAAGAGUCAUGACAUGAAUGCUUUGUCACCAAACACCUGCUCAUCGUGUUUCUACCUAUCCUAAGGCUCUAAAGCAGCUGCUCUGUGAGCAGCCAAGAUCCCAGGGCUAUUUCCUCCCCUGUUUCUUCUCUGGUUUAUGGGAACAGUAACUGCUUUGUGGUAUUGCUUAUCAAGAACAAGAGAAGAAUUGUGCAUAAUGUAAUUCCAAUUCUAAAUACAGAGAACAAUUAAAAAAUUGCUAAAACAAAAAUCUAUUUAUCCAAAUAGCAACUAUUUCCAUUUUUUCCCUUUGUUAUACACAAUUAUGCUAUAUUGGAUAAAAUAAGACACAAGUUCCAGUGCCAAUUUGGCCACUUAUUAGCUGUGGGAAUUUGGGGAAAUCAAUGGAUAACCCAGAACCUGAUCUGCCUCCUCUGUAAAAUGGGACUAGAGAAGACAUCUUGGGUUUCCUAUGGAAAAGUAAAUGAAACAAUGCACCAGACAAUAUUUUGUAAUAAGUCCCCACAAAAAUAAAAAUUAUUCUGACCUAUUUAAAGAGUUCCCU